rnacentral:rRNA from 1 species
GACGAACGCUGGCGGCGUGCUUAACACAUGCAAGUCGGACGGAAAGGCCUCUUUCGGGGGGUACUCGAGUGGCGAACGGGUGAGUAACACGUGAGUAACCUGCCCUUGACUUUGGGAUAACUUCAGGAAACUGGGGCUAAUACCGGAUAGGAGCUCCUGCUGCAUGGUGGGGGUUGGAAAGUUUCGGCGGUUGGGGAUGGACUCGCGGCUUAUCAGCUUGUUGGUGGGGUAGUGGCUUACCAAGGCUUUGACGGGUAGCCGGCCUGAGAGGGUGACCGGCCACAUUGGGACUGAGAUACGGCCCAGACUCCUACGGGAGGCAGCAGUGGGGAAUAUUGCACAAUGGGUGGAAGCCUGAUGCAGCAACGCCGUGUGCGGGAGGACGGCCUUCGGGUUGUAAACCGCUUUCGCUCAUGACGAAGCUUUGUGUGACGGUAGUGGGUAAAGAAGCACCGGCUAACUACGUG